rnacentral:rRNA from 1 species
GUCCUAGCCGUAAACGAUGAACACUAGGCGUAGUCGGUAUCGACCCCGGCUGUGCCGUAGCUAACGCAUUAAGUGUUCCGCCUGGGGAGGUACGGCCGCAAGGCUAAAACUCAAAGGAAUUGACGGGGGCCCGGCCACAAGCAGCGGAGCGUGUGGUUUAAUUCGUCGCAACGCGAAGAACCUUACCAGGGCUUGACAUGCACCGGAAAACGGCGGAAACGUCGUCCUCCCGCAAGGGAUCGGUGUGCAGGUGUUGCAUGGCUGUCGU